UACGGAGGGUGCAAGCGUUGUUCGGAAUCACUGGGCGUAAAGCGCGUGUAGGCGGCCACUUAAGUCUGAUGUGAAAGCCCUGGGCUCAACUCAGGAAGUGCAUUGGAUACUGGGUGGCUGGAGUACCGGAGAGGAGGGUGGAAUUCCUGGUGUAGCGGUGAAAUGCGUAGAUAUCAGGAGGAACACCGGUGGCGAAGGCGUCCCUCUGGCCGGAUACUGACGCUGAGACGCGAAAGCGUGGGGAGCAAACAGG
rnacentral:rRNA from 1 species